UCCGGUAUGGUGUAACGGCUAACAUUGCCGCCUUUCAUAAUCAUAUGAUCGCGGCAGCUCGGGGUUCGAUUCCCCGUACCGGAA